rnacentral:rRNA from 1 species
UACGUAGGGGCAAGCGUUAUCCGGAUUUACUGGGUGUAAAGGGAGCGCAGACGGAACCGCAAGUCUGAUGUGAAAGCCCGGGGCUCAACCGCGGGACUGCAUCGGAUACUGUGGAUCUGGAGUGCCGGAGGGGCAAGCGGAAUUCCUGGUGUAGCGGUGAAAUGCGUAGAUAUCAGGAGGAACACCGGCGGCGAAGGCGGCUUGCUGGACGGCAACUGACGUUGAGGCUCGAAAGCGUGGGGAGCAAACAGGAUUAGAUACCCUGGUA